UACGUAGGGCGCAAGCGUUGUCCGGAAUUAUUGGGCGUAAAGAGCUCGUAGGUGGCUUGUCGCGUCGGGUGUGAAAGCUUGGGGCUUAACUCCAGGUCUGCAUUCGAUGCGGGCUGGCUAGAGGUAGGUAGGGGAGAACGGAAUUCCUGGUGUAGCGGUGAAAUGCGCAGAUAUCAGGAGGAACACCGGUGGCGAAGGCGGUUCUCUGGGCCUUACCUGACGCUGAGGAGCGAAAGCGUGGGGAGCGAACAGG
rnacentral:rRNA from 1 species